rnacentral:lncRNA from 1 species
UUAAGUACAGGAAUAGAAAUAACAGUUCUGAAAUGAUUUUGACAUAUUUAAUAGCCCAGAGGUUGUUAUUAUCAGGGAAAUAGUGGUGAAAGUUAAUGCUUGCAUUGUACAUUCUUGGUACCAUUUACUUACCUGUUUUUAGCCUCUGAAAAUUACACUCAUGUUACUACAUUAAUCAUGUGACUUGAAAUCUCCAGAUUGAUUUUGUUAUAUAUAAGAA